AAUAGAAAAUAGGUUAAAAAAUAUGGCACACGUUUUAAAACUCCUUUUCGCAAAGUGAAGUGAUGGUCACUAAUCCAAGUAUGGGGAAUAGGGCAAGGACAGAAGGAAUGACCAAGAGACUUACCGCUCCCGUUGUCCAAUGAAUAGAUUUCAAUUCAU